rnacentral:ribozyme from 1 species
GGUGAUCGUGGGCUUGCUGUCCAAUCUGGUGGACGACGAGAAGACCCUCGCCUUUCCGCGUCUCUUUCUCCCCUUUCGCGUCUCUCGCAGCAUGAACACGCAACUGUCCCGCGGGGGACAGGUCCGACCUCUCCCGUUUGUCCAGCACGGCAUCAUCGAGGAGCGCCUCGAUGCCCCCUUUUUCACAUACGACGAGGCCGUUCCGGAAGGGGAAGAGCUCUUUGCGUAUCUCUCCCCGGUGCACCUUCUCUCACAGAUGUGCCAGGUGU